AGCGGCGGACGGGUGAGUAACACGUGGGUAACCUGCCCAUAACACUGGGAUAACUCCGGGAAACCGGGGCUAAUACCGGAUAACAUUUUGAACCGCAUGGUUCGAAAUUGAAAGGCGGCUUCGGCUGUCACUUAUGGAUGGACCCGCGUCGCACUAGCUAGUUGGUGAGGUAACGGCUCACCAAGGCAACGAUGCGUAGCCGACCUGAGAGGGUGAUCGGCCACACUGGGACUGAGACACGGCCCACACUCCUACGGGAGGCAGCAGUAGGGAAUCUUCCGCAAUGGACGAAAGUCUGACGGAGCAACGCCGCGUGAGUGAUGAAGGCUUUCGGGUCGUAAAACUCUGUUGUUAGGGAAGAACAAGUGCUAGUUGAAUAAGCUGGCACCUUGACGGUACCUAACCAGAAAGCCACGGCUAACUACGUGCCAGCAGCCGCGGUAAUACGUAGGUGGCAAGCGUUAUCCGGAAUUAUUGGGCGUAAAGCGCGCGCACGUGGUUUCUUAAUUCUGAUGUGAAAGCCCACGGCUCAACCGUGGAGGGUCAUUGGAAACUGGGAGACUUGAGUGCAGAAGA
rnacentral:rRNA from 1 species